UACGAAGGGGGCUAGCGUUGCUCGGAAUUACUGGGCGUAAAGGGCGCGUAGGCGGGUCGUUAAGUUAGAGGUGAAAGCCCAGGGCUCAACCCUGGAAUUGCCUUUAAUACUGUCGACCUUGAGUAUGGCAGAGGUGUGUGGAACUCCGAGUGUAGAGGUGAAAUUCGUAGAUAUUCGGAAGAACACCAGUGGCGAAGGCGACACACUGGGCCAUUACUGACGCUGAGGCGCGAAAGCGUGGGGAGCAAACAAG
rnacentral:rRNA from 1 species